GAAAUUUCUUGAUGAAUCCUGGACCGUAGUGAUUCAUGGUAGCUACAUUAUGCUGUGCCUGUCACAAGCAUGAAGUCACAGAAUCCUCACAAAAGCCCCAAGAAGUGGGUUAUGAUUAUUCCCAUUUUGUAAAGGAAGCAAUUGAUGCUUGGAGAGGUUAAGAAGCUUACUCAAAGGACCAUUUCUGAUACUCAGUGGUUUUGGGCUUUGAAUCCAUGUCCAUCUGACUCUUGCACUCCUAUGAACAAUUUACGGGCUCAGCCAUCAAGAACAAUGCCAGCUAAACACGUGCCAGCCACUUUUCUAAGGACAUUGGUAACUCAUCUAGUAACUCAUUUUAUUCCUACAAUAACCGUAAGAGGGAUGCACAUUACCUUUAUAACUGCAUAUGGAUGGAUAAACUGAGAUGUGGAGAGUUUAAAUAGCAGCCCAAACAAUGAAAAAAAAUGGAGCCCCCCAAAAGUUGUGAGAUUUGCCCAGGACUUUUUUUCCCUGGUCCCCAGACUACCUCUUGGUGAUGUCAGUAUAUUUGUUUUUGUUUUCUUGGGAGUGAACUGUCCCAGAGUGUCUGCUGCUGAUGUAUUAAUGGGGGGAUGCAGAAUGAUAUAAUACUUGUCAGCCAUUUCAUUGUGAAUUUACUCCAGAUAGUUUUUGUUUAAUCAGAGCAAUAUUUCCUAGGUUGCCAGGCAACAUGGCAAUGGCAUUUCAGGAUUUACUGUCAGCUUUUGAAAUAGAAAAAGGCUCUGUCUUUUGCUUCCAGAAUAAACUCUCUCUCUCACUCA